GUGUUUGCUUCGGCAGCACGUAUAUUAAAACGAAUGAUACAGAGAUUAUUAGCCUGCCCUUGUGCAAGGAUGACAUGCAAAUCCAUGAAGUGUUCCAUACUUUU
ensembl:snRNA U6 U6 spliceosomal RNA